UCUUCAUGACCGCAAGGAAAAUCUCUCUUUUGAGAACAGACAUGUUUUUCUUCCAAGAGAUGUCAUGAGAUCUUUUCUCCUCCUUAGAAUUUCCUCUGCCUGGCUCCUGCUGGCUGAUGCAAAUGGAUUCAAAAGGGCAGCGGGCCCAGCCCUCCAGAUGACCAUCCAUUUCACCAAAAGAAGAAGAAGAAGAAGAAGCAAUUCUGGGCAGCGUGCAACAAUAAAACAACAAAUAUAAAAACAACAGAUAUAAAACUCCACAUUAAAAGGGAGUGUUCUGCAACUUGGUACAGACUGCAACUGCUAGACUUCCCAGCUAGGAAAGGAAUUCUGUAGAUUCAAUUCAUCUUGAGAGAACUGGACCAUGUAAGCGCCUGCUGAGACCUGAUUUUCCCACCAAAGGGCUGUGAUGGUGGCUUAUUCCCAGGAUUUCUUUGUCUGAAACAACAACCUACCCGCUAAUAUUUCAACCUCCGACUUGUUUAUAGGAUGGAUGGAUGAAUCAGCACUUGGAAUGGACAGAGAAGAAAGCAAUGCAGAACUUUGGCAUAAUGAGGGGAUCUUAUUCCGGUUCAACAUUUAAAAGUUCAUGGAAACAAUAGCAGGUGUCUUUGUCUGUACAGUUAAACAUCCAAAAUAUAAGUAUGUACUAACUGACUAAUGAGGCUGAGAUGUCAAGGAGUGACUAGGGAAAUUUGCUCAUUAAGCAUUUGCAAAUUACUUUUGUCUGCAAAGAGAACUUAUAAAAGGGAAAGGAAUCACG